GAUGAACGCUGGCGGCGUGCCUAAUACAUGCAAGUCGAGCGAACAGACGAGGAGCUUGCUCCUCUGACGUUAGCGGCGGACGGGUGAGUAACACGUGGAUAACCUACCUAUAAGACUGGGAUAACUUCGGGAAACCGGAGCUAAUACCGGAUAAUAUAUUGAACCGCAUGGUUCAAUAGUGAAAUACGGUUUUUCUGUCACUUAUAGAUGGAUCCGCGCCGCAUUAGCCAGUUGUUAAGGUACCGGCCUACCAAGGCAACGAUGCGUAGCCGACCUGAGAGGGUGAUCGGCCACACUGGAACUGAGACACGGUCCAGACUCCUACGGGAGGCAGCAGUAGGGAAUCUUCCGCAAUGGGCGAAAGCCUGACGGAGCAACGCCGCGUGAGUGAUGAAGGUCUUCGGAUCGUAAAACUCUGUUAUUAGGGAAGAACAAAUGUGUAAGUAACUAUGCACGUCUUGACGGUACCUAAUCAGAAAGCCACGGCUAACUACGUG
rnacentral:rRNA from 1 species